rnacentral:rRNA from 1 species
UACGUAGGGGGCAAGCGUUGUCCGGAUUUAUUGGGCGUAAAGAGCGUGUAGGCGGCCUGACAAGUCUGCUGUGAAAACUCGAGGCUCAACCUCGAGAUGUCGGCGGAAACUGUCUGGCUAGAGUCCGGAAGAGGAGAGUGGAAUUCCUGGUGUAGCGGUGAAAUGCGCAGAUAUCAGGAAGAACACCUAUGGCGAAGGCGGGUCUCUGGGCCGAAACUGACGCUGAGGAGCGAAAGCGUGGGGAGCAAACAGG